GUUCCCGUAGCGUAACUGUAUAACGCAGCGCCCUCCUAAGGCGAAGAUUCCCAGUUAGAGUCUGGGCGGGAACACCA
rnacentral:tRNA from 1 species